GACUCUCGGCAACGGAUAUCUCGGCUCUCGCAUCGAUGAAGAACGCAGCAAAAUGCGAUACUUGGUGUGAAUUGCAGAAUCCCGUGAACCAUCGAGUUUUUGAACGCAAGUUGCGCCCGAAGCCAUUAUGCUGAGGGCACGUCUGCCUGGGCGUCACG
rnacentral:rRNA from 1 species